GCAGGGGUAGCAAAGCCUGGUCAAAUGUGACAGGUUCAGGGCCUGUUCCCUUAGGGGUUCGAGGGUUCGAAUGCCCAUCUUUUCU
rnacentral:tRNA from 1 species